AGCCAUGCAUGUCUCAGUACACGCCCAUGCACGGCGAAACCGCGAAUGGCUCAUUAAAUCAGUUAUGGUUCCUUAGAUGCUACACGUUAUACUUGGAUAACUGUGGCAAUUCCAGAGCUAAUACAUGCAACUGAGCCUUCCUCCUUCUAGGGGGAGGGUGCUUUUAUUAGACCAAAAUCAAACCGGGCUUGCCCGGUAACUGUGAUGACUCUGGAUAACUAUGGCGGAUCGCACAGUCUUGCACUGGCGAUGCAUCUUUCAAGUGUCUGCCUUAUCAACUGUCGAUGGUAGGUUAUGCGCCUACCAUGGUUGUUACGGGUAACGGGGAAUCAGGGUUCGGUUCCGGAGAGGGAGCCUGAGAAACGGCUACCACAUCCAAGGAAGGCAGCAGGCGCGCAAAUUACCCAAUCCCAGCACGGGGAGGUAGUGACGAAAAAUAACAAUACGGGACUCUUACGAGGCUCCGUAAUUGGAAUGAGUACACUCUAAACCUCUUAACGAGGAUCUAUUGGAGGGCAAGUCUGGUGCCAGCAGCUGCGGUAAGUCCAGCUCCAAUAGCGUAUAUUAACGCUGUUGCGUUUAAAAAGCUCGUAGUUGGAUCUCAGUCGGGCUUCCCAUCGAUACGUCGAAAGGCGCUGGUCGUUGGGGCCGGCAAUACGCUCGUGGGCUUGGUUGGCCUUCAAAAGCUGACCCUGUUUUCGGGCAAUUUUACCUUGAAAAAAUUAGGGUGCUCAAGGCAGGCCGGGACCUGAAUAAUGAUGCAUGGAAUAAUGGAAUAGGACCUCGGUUCUAUUUUGUUGGUUUUCGGAUCCCGGGGUAAUGAUUGAGAGGGACAGACGGGGGCAUUCGUACUGCUACGCUAGAGGUGAAAUUCUUGGACCGUAGCAAGACGAACUACUGCGAAAGCAUUUGCCAAGAAUGUUUUCAUUAAUCAAGAACGAAAGUUAGAGGUUCGAAGGCGAUCAGAUACCGCCCUAGUUCUAACCAUAAACGAUGCCAACCAGCGAUCCGCCAGAGUUCCUUAAACGACUCGGCGGGCAGCUUCCGGGAAACCAAAGUGUGUGGGUUCCGGGGGAAGUAUGGUUGCAAAGCUGAAACUUAAAGGAAUUGACGGAAGGGCACCACCAGGAGUGGAGCCUGCGGCUUAAUUUGACUCAACACGGGGAAACUCACCCGGCCCGGACACCGGAAGGAUUGACGGAUUGAUAGCUCUUUCUCGAUUCGGUGGGUGGUGGUGCAUGGCC
rnacentral:rRNA from 1 species